UAUAAAUUUAUAUAGCUUGUAUUUAUAUAUAUGUGUUUGUGUUCGAUUAAAUUUCUGUUCAAAUAUUUAUUGAUUUAGUGCAUGUUCACUUGUGAAAUCCCGAGAAUCUCCUGUGCUAUUAGCCUUACAUUUGAGAUACGUGUUUCAGUCCUUCUAACAUGCUGUUCAUAUACAUGGGUAUUAAUGUCCAAGUACGCUACGGCUACCUGCAUGAGGGAUGGACGUCUGUUUUGCACGUUACACAAAGUGAAACCAGUAUUUAGAAAUAUGAGUGCUGUUCUGCAAGUGGAAAAUUUGUAACAAUAUGUAUCUAUGCACAGCAGUUCAGGUAACAAUGUCCAAGUACACUACGGCUACCUGCAUGAGGGAUGGACGUCUGUUUUGCACGUUACACAAAGUGAAACUGUAUUUAGCAAUCUGAGUGCUGCUCUGCAAGUGGAAAAUUUGUAACAAUAUGUAUCUAUGCAUAGCACAGGGAAAGAAAACUGACAAAAAUUUUUAUGACAUUUUACAUCUGUAGAAAUGACCUUCUUAACAGUAAGUCAAGUGAAUAACAUACCAUCCUAAGGAAGAACUAAGCACUCAAAAUUGCUUUAUUAUAUAAUGCCUCAAAGAUUUCCUAUAUAUCUAAAAAAUAAAUACAUGCUGACAUAAAGCCUUGACCAAUGCUUCUUAAAUAUAUAAAACCAACAGAAAGGUUGCAGAAACAAGUGUGAUGUGAAAGCUAAACGGCACACAUGAUGUUCUUGAGGUUUGGAUUCCCAAGUAGGAAGUCAUCGCAUUGUCCUGUAAUAUAGAGUGGAAUGUUUGCACGUGCUGUCGAGGAGCAGAAAUACUGGGAAAUAUGCCCUUUAAUGCUGUCCAUCAUAUCUGUCUUUGCAAGCUGCUAGUUGCAGUGAAAGUCCUAAUGAGAAAAAAAAAAAAAAAAAAAUGAAAACAGAAGCAAAUUGUAUCAUGAAAGCUAUUGCCGAUAGUAAAAUAUCAGCUGCUGAAUAUAAUAAAUCUAGGACCUUUUUCAGAUUUUAAUGAACAUAGGUUUUCUGUAUUUUGAAAUCUUGUGUAUAAAGAAAACAUCUUGAUUUUUUAAAAUUGAAAUACAGUGAUGUGUAACUUUAAAGAUGUUGUCCAUAUAUCACCAUCCAAGAAAAUGAGAGCUGAAGUUUUACUAACAUUCACUGUUUUGAAAAAAUAAAUAAAUAAAUAAAAUAAUUGUCACUCUUGAAGAAACAGGUUUCAAAGUAAUUGUUGUUAGUAACACUAAUUCCAUUAAUAUGUCCUGUAUAUCUUUAUUUAAUAAUCCAUUAUCAAAUUUUGUAUUUCCCCAUCCUGUUAGUGCAACUCGUCCAUUGUCUUAUGCAGUUCAACCGGGUCAUAUUAAAUGUCUUCGUAAAUUACUCUUGCAAUUUAAUUUAUUACGUUACAUUUAAAACAUUAAAAUUUGAUGGAACUGUAAUUAAAUGUGUUAUGUAAAUAAAUAAUUUUAAGGACUUCA